rnacentral:rRNA from 1 species
CCGUAGGUGAACCUGCGGAAGGAUCAUUAUUGAAUUAUGUUUUCUAGAUGGGUUGUAGCUGGCUCCCAGGAGCAUGUGCACGCCUGUCUGGACUUCAUUUUCAUCCACCUGUGCACCUUUUGUAGUCUUUGGUUGGGUACCUGUGAGGACUAGUGUGUCAGGCCUUUAUCAGCUCCGGCUGGCUUUGAGCGACAUUGCAGUGAUGCAAGGAUUGCUGUCCGUCUACUUGGCCAUGGACUCUGUUUCCCGAAUUUCCAGAGUUCUAUGUCUUUUCAUAUACCCUAUUUGAAGUUAUGUAGAAUGUCUUUACAUGGGCUAUCUAUGCCUAUGAAAAUUGUAAUACAACUUUCAGCAACGGAUCUCUUGGCUCUCGCAUCGAUGAAGAACGCAGCGAAAUGCGAUAAGUAAUGUGAAUUGCAGAAUUCAGUGAAUCAUCGAAUCUUUGAACGCAUCUUGCGCUCCUUGGUAUUCCGAGGAGCAUGCCUGUUUGAGUGUCAUUAAAUUCUCAACCUCUCCUAGUACUUUGUAAUGUAGACCGGUGAAGGCUUGGAUUGUGGGGGUUUUGGCUGGUGGCUUAAGCUGUGGUCUGGCUCCUCUGAAAUGGAUUAGCGAGGUUCUACUGGGUUUGCGAUCUGCCAUUGGUGUGAUAAAUUUUCUGCACUGGCGCGGGGAUUGGUCUCUAUGUGUUCAGGUUCUAAUCGUCUUCGAAGUGACAAUUUUACUUGACCAUAUUUGACCUCAAAUCAGGUAGGACUACCCGCUGAACUUAAGCAUAUCAAUAAGCGGAGGAAAAGUGAAGCUAAGCCAAGGAUUCCCCUAGUAACUGCGAGUGAAGCGGAAAAUU